GACGAACGCUGGCGGCGUGCCUAAUACAUGCAAGUUGAGCGCUGAAGGUUGGUACUUGUACCAACUGGAUGAGCAGCGAACGGGUGAGUAACGCGUGGGGAAUCUGCCUUUGAGCGGGGGACAACAUUUGGAAACGAAUGCUAAUACCGCAUAAAAACUUUAAACACAAGUUUUAAGUUUGAAAGAUGCAAUUGCAUCACUCAAAGAUGAUCCCGCGUUGUAUUAGCUAGUUGGUGAGGUAAAGGCUCACCAAGGCGAUGAUACAUAGCCGACCUGAGAGGGGGGACCGCCACAUUGGGAAUGGGACACGGCCCAAACUCCUACGGGAGGCAGCAGGAGGGGAUCUUCGGCAAAGGACGAAAGGCUGACCGGGCAACGGCGCGGGGGGGAAGAAGGGUUUCGGGUCGGAAAACUCUGGUGGUAGGGAAGAACGAUGGUGGGAGGGGAAAGCGCAUCAAGUGACGGUAACUACCCAGAAAGGGACGGCUAACUACGUG
rnacentral:rRNA from 1 species